UCCUUUGAGGAUCAUCGAUCAUCAAAAUGAUGUCCGAUGAGUCCCAUAAUCUGCUAGUGACACCUAGCAGUAUGUAGUGCAAACAUAGUGGAAUGAAAGUGUGAGCCCCUAAGUGCAGUUAUCGUAUGAUUCAGUCUUAUUAUGAGUUCCGACUGGAUGGAGGUCAUAGAGAAUUCGUCAGACCCCAUUGUCAGUCAUAUGUUAGAUUGGCUCA
rnacentral:lncRNA from 1 species